GCGUCAGUCGCAAGAUGAAGCGUUGAAUUGAAGCCCGAGUAAACGGCGGCCGUAACUAUAACGGUCCUAAGGUAGCGAAAUUCCUUGUCGGUUAAAUACCGACCUGCAUGAAUGGCGUAACGAGAUGGAAGCUGUCUCAACCAGAGAUUCAGUGAAAUUGUAGUGGAGGUGUAAAUUCCUCCUACCCGCGGCAGGACGGAAAGACCCCGUGGACCUUUACUACAACUUAGCACUG
rnacentral:rRNA from 1 species